UACUUAAAAAGUUUUUAGUUAUUAAAAAGUUUUUUAUUAUUAUUCGCUGAUCUUUGCAGUGCGACCUUUUUCCUGUUUUGUGGCUUUACUACUUAUAGCUAAUUUUUCAGUCCUUGUCAGAAUGCCGAAAUUAUUAUACCAUCCAUUUUGAAACGAUCAAUAUUUUGGUUAAUGAAGCAAGGAUCAAGGAUUCAGAAAGUAAAGCUGCUUCCAUUUCCUAGCCAGUUCGUUCGGCAGGUUGCGGCUUUGGAUACCAAUAUAAGGGGUUGUGCUGGUAUCCAUGGCCACAGUUUUACUUUAUUUACCUUUCAUACCUUAUUUGGGGUUCUCAUGUAAUGAAUGUUUAGAUAUUUCGUGCAUUUAGACGAAAAAUAUAACACUUUUUCCAGUCCUGUCCAUGCGUAAAAA